rnacentral:rRNA from 1 species
UACAGAGGGUGCUAGCGUUGUUCGGAAUCAUUGGGCGUAAAGGGCGUGUAGGCGGUUUGUUAAGUCAUGUGUGAAAUCCCUCGGCUCAACCGGGGAACGACGCAUGAAACUGGCAAGCUAGAGUACCAAAGAGGGCGGUGGAAUUCCCGGUGUAGCGGUGAAAUGCGUAGAUAUCAUUUGGAACGCCAACGGUGAAAACAGGUAGCUGGGGUUGUGCUGACGCUGAGACACGAAAGCCAGGGGAGCGAACGGG